GAUGAACGCUGGCGGCGUGCCUAAUACAUGCAAGUCGAGCGAACAGACGUGGAGCUUGCUCCUCAGACGUUAGCGGCGGACGGGUGAGUGACACGUGGAUAACCUACCUAUAAGACUGGGAUAACUUCGGGCAACCGGAGCUAAUACCGGAUAAUAUAUUGAACCGCAUGGUUCAAUAGUGAAAGACGGUUUUGCUGUCACUUAUAGAUGGAUCCGCGCCGCAUUAGCUAGUUGGUAAGGUAACGGCUUACCAAGGCAACGAUGCGUAGCCGACCUGAGAGGGGGAUAGGCCCCACUGGAACUGAGACACGGUCCAGACUCCUACGGGAGGCAGCAGUAGGGAAUCUUCCGCAAUGGGCGAAAGCCUGACGGAGCAACGCCGCGUGAGUGAUGAAGGUCUUCGGAUCGUAAAACUCUGUUAUUAGGGAAGAACAAAUGUGUAAGUAACUAUGCACGUCUUGACGGUACCUAAUCAGAAAGCCACGGCUAACUACGUG
rnacentral:rRNA from 1 species